GACGAACGCUGGCGGCGUGCUUAACACAUGCGAGUCGAACGGAAAGGCCCUGCUUUUGUGGGGUGCUCGAGUGGCGAACGGGUGAGUAACACGUGAGUAACCUGCCCUUGACUUUGGGAUAACUUCAGGAAACUGGGGCUAAUACCGGAUAGAACUCCCGCUUGCAUGGUGGGGGUUGGAAAGUUCCGGCGGUGGGGGAUGGACUCGCGGCUUUUCAGCUUGUUGGUGGGGUAGUGGCUUACCAAGGCUUUGACGGGUAGCCGGCCUGAGAGGGUGACCGGCCACAUUGGGACUGAGAUACGGCCCAGACUCCUACGGGAGGCAGCAGUGGGGAAUAUUGCACAAUGGGCGGAAGCCUGAUGCAGCAACGCCGCGUGCGGGAUGACGGCCUUCGGGUUGUAAACCGCUUUCGCCUGUGACGAAGCGUGAGUGACGGUAAUGGGUAAAGAAGCACCGGCUAACUACGUG
rnacentral:rRNA from 1 species